CGACGCGACGCGACUGUGGUCUUCUGGGUAGAAGGAAGGGUUGUUCAGGAAGCCCUACGCUGCCAUGCUGGUCAGUCUAGGCGCAUUGCGAGUUCUGCUUGGCAUCUUUUUCACUCUCACCGGGGCUGCCAAGCUCUUUCAGGUCUCGGCCCCCGUGUCACAACAAAUGGUGAGCAACACCCGGGGAAGGAUAGCGUGUGCUUGGUUCCCGGGGAACCGGGUUGCCUUCGGGUUCGAGGACGCCUGGGCCUCCCUCCAGUUUUCUAACCUUCUCCAGGUGGGAGGGAACGGGACUUCUACUUCUGCCCAAGUAUGCUGUCUCCAGCCCGAUUUAGAGCUGGAGAAGUGAUGUGACUCAGGAGGUCCAGGAAGACAGUGAAAAAGUGACCUAGCACCCUUCUGCAUCUCACGUCCACCACUCAUUGUUCCAGUUUGGGGAGGCUGGAGAGGCAGAAUUUUACUUUAUUUGGUGUUUGUUUGUUUGUUUGUUUGUUUGUUUGAGCUGCUCUUCUGACUAUGUAGCUCUGACUGGCUGGCCUGGAACACUAUAUAUAGUACCUGGCC
rnacentral:lncRNA from 1 species